rnacentral:tRNA from 1 species
GGGAAGUUGGCUUAGUGGUAGAGUACUUGCCUUGCAUGCAUGAGGCCUGCAUCAGAUUCCUCA